rnacentral:rRNA from 1 species
UACGUAGGUGGCAAGCGUUGUCCGGAAUUACUGGGUGUAAAGCGCGCGCAGGUGGUUUCUUAAGUCUGAUGUGAAAGCCCACGGCUCAACCGUGGAGGGUCAUUGGAAACUGGGGAACUUGAGUGCAGGAGAGAAGAGUGGAAUUCCACGUGUAGCGGUGAAAUGCGUAGAGAUGUGGAGGAACACCAGUGGCGAAGGCGACUCUUUGGCCUGUAACUGACACUGAGGCGCGAAAGCGUGGGGAGCAAACAGG